GGGCGCAGAAGAAAAAGUUUGGGAACCACUGUUCUACACAAUAGUUGUGAUCGAUAAAAAAUAAAAAAAAAACUUGAUGGGAGAAUGUGCAGUUCCUCAUGCAAACUUUGACCGUAUGUUGGUUUUAGAGACAAGGGAAACUUGUGACACAUGUUGAGGUGGAGAAUCAUGAUUACUCAGACAUUUAAUUUUUAUCAUACACUUUAUCAUAAGCAUUCAAACCAGCAGUACUCUUUAGGCUUCAGCUAGUCAGCCAUAACUAUACAUAAGGAACUUUUGAAUAAAAAAGGACUAUAAGCCUUAAAUCUUGAAUCAAUGUCUGCACAUUUCAUUAGUUUUCUCAACAUCACCUUCCUUUUCCUGGAAGAUCACCAGGGUGAUUGUGAACCUCAAGUAAACACAAAAUGUGAAGUAAUCAAACUGAUUACUGUCGGCAUGUAUAAGCUGUAGUGACACUCAUGCAUAAUGAAUGCAUGAUGCAUCAACACUGCUGGAAGACCUUGCAAAUGAAAAAAUCAAGAAGGAAAUUUGAACUGUUGGGGCCUGAUGUACUGAUGCACUUUUCCGUUGUAGCCUGAAGGGGUCAGUAGCUGCCCCAUCAGGUGCUGGCUCUUGAUGUGAUCCUCCAUGUGUGUUCGUGCAUGGAUUUUUUGGCAUGUCAUUUUUGACUUUGCACAUACAUACAAUUUUAGUAUAGACCUUGUGCAAUGUUUUGUAUAGGAGACCCAAGAUCUCCAUGCUUUCUGCUACAGGGGCAGUCUUAGGACUUGGAAAAAUGAGUCCAUUGACAUGGCAGAGGUGCACUUUGUAGCUAGAAAAGACCUUUUAGCAACUGGGUGAUUUAAAGGACUCUUGCUAUAGUUGAACUGUAACUUUCAUUUACGUAUGAAACAGUGGAUCAGAUCUUUCCCUGGUGAAUCUCCUGAGACGGUUAUAGGAUUUCAGUGCUUUGGUCUAGGUGUGUUUUUUUGCAUCUGGAGAAAGCUUAUGACCAUGUCCAGGAGUGCUGGAGAUGCUUUUGAACACUAUCUCAGCUCCAAAGCAAAAGGUGUGUCCAUGAUUUUAGAAGAACUCACAUUGUUCCAAAUGUGAGAUGGACAUUGCCAUCUGACCCUGACCCUGAUCAAGACCUCAGGGUACAGUUGUAAAGACGAAAGUGCUUGGGGAGAAUGACUGAAAUGUCCAGCUCAUGGCUGAAAUGAGCUUCUUCCAUAGGAUAGCUGGCAUUAUGCUUGAAAAUGAGGUGAGGUGCUCCAUUACCAAGAGAAGGCCCUUCACAUCAAAAUUGUGGUAGUCAAGAUGGUUUGGGGAAAGUGUUUUACAAGUUAACUUACCAUCAGCUUUUCAGAAAAUGUUUAUAAUUGUGUGAAGUGAAAGGUGUUAACAUUACCCAUCACCUUGUCUUGUUUAUCUCCAGCAUCAGGGUAGUGGUCACCGUCAAACAGAAGGAUGACGACAUUCAGAAGGCUGUGUCCUGUAUCAGAGAAGCAGCCUCAGUUCUCCUCAAAUAGCAGCAAAACCUUAAUGGCUUUCACAAACCAGUAAUGGCUUGUGGAAGCCAUUACUGGUUUACUGAGAAGCAGAUCUGGGGGAACACUGAGAAACACUGGAAGCUCCAACUCAAACUCUAAAAUCUCCACACAGUGUAACAGUAAGAUCUCUGUGAUUGUUACUUCAUGUCUUAAAGCCAUGUCAUCGCAAGAGAUUAAUUUAUAUAUAAUGCAAUAAAUGUUGUCUGUUGUCAUGAAUAUCAACAUGGAACUUUUCUGGCCUUUUUGCUAUAAGAAAAUGAGGGCCCCCAGCAUUUAAAACAAAAUUGUUUCAGUCUGUCCAAUCCUUAUCACAAAUGGGUGAUGUACUUUAUCUAAUGACCAGAAGGACACCUUGUGCUUUUUGUUUAGCAGGUGACUAGAACAUAAACAUGUGAUCUGACUGAGUUUGUAUGCCACUAAGAUUAACUAGAAAUACAUGAUUGUUCCUUUGGAAUCACAUACUCUGAUCUUCACUUUUGAUACAUGUAUUUUGUGAGAGGUUACUGCAUCUGUGAUUUUUAUGAAAAAUAUAUAAUGUAAAAUGUAUCAUCUCUUGA